AUAAGUUUCAACUCCUUUUGGUAGACAUCAGGAAGCAGGACUGCUGGAUCAUAUGGAAUUCUGUCCUUACCAUGAGCCAUAUCUUUCUUACUCACUUCUGUAUCAAGCAUGAGAUAGUGGAGAAAAAUGAGGUGAAGGAUUAGCAUUCCAAAUUUAUAUCAAACUGCCAAUGAAAACCACAAGGCCUUCUCAAAACUCUC